UCUCGCGGCCUAUCAGCUUGUUGGUGAGGUAAUGGCUCACCAAGGCGACGACGGGUAGCCGGCCUGAGAGGGUGACCGGCCACACUGGGACUGAGACACGGCCCAGACUCCUACGGGAGGCAGCAGUGGGGAAUAUUGCACAAUGGGCGAAAGCCUGAUGCAGCGACGCCGCGUGAGGGAUGACGGCCUUCGGGUUGUAAACCUCUUUCAGUAGGGAAGAAGCGAAAGUGACGGUACCUGCAGAAGAAGCGCCGGCUAACUACGUGCCAGCAGCCGCGGUAAUACGUAGGGCGCAAGCGUUAUCCGGAAUUAUUGGGCGUAAAGAGCUCGUAGGCGGUUUGUCGCGUCUGCCGUGAAAGUCCGGGGCUCAACUCCGGAUCUGCGGUGGGUACGGGCAGACUAGAGUGAUGUAGGGGAGACUGGAAUUCCUGGUGUAGCGGUGAAAUGCGCAGAUAUCAGGAGGAACACCGAUGGCGAAGGCAGGUCUCUGGGCAUUAACUGACGCUGAGGAGCGAAAGCAUGGGGAGCGAACAGGAUUAGAUACCCUGGUAGUCCAUGCCGCAAACGUUGGGCACUAGGUGUGGGGGACAUUCCACGUUUUCCGCGCCGUAGCUAACGCAUUAAGUGCCCCGCCUGGGGAGUACGGAAGCUUGGAAUUCGC
rnacentral:rRNA from 1 species